GGGAUCCGAGCCGCGUCUGCGACCUACACCACAGCUCAUGGCAACGCCGGAUCCUUAACCCACUGAGCAAGGGCAGGGACCAAACCCGCAACCUCAUGGUUCCUAGUCAGAUUUGUUAACCACUGCACCACGACGGGAACUCCAGACCCUACUCUUAAGGCAUUUUACAUAUAUGAACUCAGUUUAUCUUCACAACUAGAUGAGGCAGAUACUAUAAUUAUCUGUAUUUAACAUACAAUGAAGCCGCUAGAAAUUAAGUUGCUUGCCCAACGCACACAGCUGGGAUAUAAAGCCAGGCACUCUGUCCCUGGUGCCUGCGGUCUUACCUGUCAUGCUAAGCUACCUCUCAGAAUAAGCCUAGGCCAGAGAUGAGACUAAUUUUAGAGAUGGCAGGGAGUAACACAGAAGAGGGAUUUCGAGGGUAUCAAUAUUUAGAAACUCAUUAAGCUGCUUUUUAUAGUACGUUUUUGCACAGGAGACUGAGAAGGCACUGCCAGAAAUAUAAAGAAAAAGAGGAGACUGAAAUACCCUGGAAGUCAAGAGGAGUUAAGUGUCCAAAAUAGAAUGUAUUUUUUAAAAUGCUAUUAAGAAGUGUACUAAGAAGAGGACCACAGGAUUGACAACCGAAGGCUAUCAUAAACUUAGGAAAAGCUGUUUCGAGGAGUGAUGAAGAGGGAAGCUCAACUAGACAGGUGUGAUGGAAAGGUAAGGAAAGCAAAGCAGAAAUGCUUUCAACACAUCUGGCUGUAAAGGGGAAGAAAGAAAAGACCUGCAGAUAGUAUGGAGUCGGGGACAGGUUGUUUAUAAGAUGUGAGAGCUAUAAUCAAGUUUAAAAGUCAAUGGAAAGGAUCCAGUUGAGAGGAAGGAGUUCACAGAGUAUAAACUUCUUUGGCAGUCAGGAUGAGAGAGAUGGGAAACAACUGUAUUCAUAUAUACAUAUUCAAGCAGAACCAAUGAAUGGAAUGCUGUCUAACAUACACCAUAGAAACUAGCAAUAGGUCCAAGCCCCCCUCUACUUCCCCGGUUUGUGCUCAUGCCAUCCUCACAUCAGCUUCCUUGUCUUCCUCUGGCGACCUCUGCCUCCUUUCAUGACCCAAUAUGCCACAGACACUCACUUCAGAGACUCCUCACGUGCUCUCCUCCUGACUAAGAAUGUCCUACCCUCUGCCCAACGCCUCACCUCUUUAUCCACUUUCUAUCUGGUAAAGAUGUUUGCACAUAGCAGCUGGAUGAAUGAACUCUGUUCGAGACCCGUGUGGAAACAAGGAGCCUUUUGAAACUCAGUUAUGACUUUGGGUAUUUGCUUCAAUGCAAUUCUGCUUUUAGUUACCAUUACAAUCUUUGGCCAGUAUAAAACAGGGUCAUGUUUAAAGAAGAUGUUGGAGUGUACCAAGCAUCUUGACUUCAUAUAUUUAGUCAUACACAUACAUGUGUAUAUAUAUAUAUAUGAUGAGAACUCCCUAGUCAGUCAUAUUUUUUUAGAUCCAGACUUAGAGUCAUCAUUCCCACAAAUACAGAAACAUUCAUACAUGCCAUUUUAUUGUUUUAUCAAAAAAUAAUAGUUUCGUGAGUUCCCAUCAUGGCUCAGUGGCAACAAACCAGACUAAUAUCCAUGAGGAUGUGGGUUUGAUCCAUGGCCCUGCUCAGUGGGUUAAGGAUCCGGCGUUGCCAUGAGCUGUGGUGUAGAUCACAGACCUGGCUCGGAUCCUGUGUUGUUGUGGCUGUGGUGUAAGUCGGCAGCUGUUGCUCCAAUUCAACCCCUCGCCUGGGAACUUCCAUAUGCCACAGUGCAGCCCUNNNNNNNNNNNNNNNNNNNNNNNNNNNNNNNNNNAAAAAAAAAAAAAAAAAAAAAAAGAGUAGUUUCAAGUAAACACAUGCCUGUACUUAGGAUGUCAGUGAAUUCUCUCCAACUAAUCAAGCAGCAUAGAAAGCCAAGUCCUAAUCAGAAUGACAAGCUAUUAAUUUAAAAUGAGAUGUGUAACUGUCAGUUCAACCAGACCUUCUUGUCAACCUGACCAAUGCCCUAUUUUCAUCCCAGACAAGCUACAGCUACGGACUGGUGAAUCUUACAUAAAAAUGUGGAUGGGAUCAGCAAACAGCAUUGUCAACAGAGACCCAGGAAGUACGAAAAGCCACAAAUGAGUCCAAGUAGAACAGAGAGAGCGGUCCUAUAUAUCCAAAGGACAUGCCUGGUUUUCAGGAUAUUAGCCCGGGGGCGGGGGGGGGGGGGGGGGGGGACAUGAUCAAUUUGUCUUGUAAGGAAGCAAUUGUUGAAUGGCAUGUGCCCGUGAUUCAUGCCAACAAUAUCUUACAUUUGCCACUAAGCCCUUGCAAUGUAGGGCAUUAAUGAUCACAAAGCCUCCUUUAAGUUGUGGUAUGUUAUACUCAAUAAGUUGGUGAGACAUUUUUGAGAAGUCCCCAUACAUUAACAUUCACCAGAAAACAAUGGUUCAAGCCUUUAAAAAUCCUCCCAGGACCCAAAGAACAAUCUAGCUUCUAGCCUUAUAAAGCGUUCAUGCAACAAGGCUCCAUCCUUUUACAUAAGAAAAUAUACCUGAGGUGGCCAAAAAUAACCUAAGUCAGAUCAGUUGCAGAGAGCAAAGAGACUCAUGACCACAUCGAGCUGUUGGUGACAAGGGGACUAAAUUUUAAUUUGGAUGUUUCGGAACAGGACUCUUUAUAGGAGGAAUAGAAAUGUGAGCAGCUUAGCUUUAAAUUCUCUCUACUCAAAUCCAAAUAUUAAGUCAUCUAAAGGAAAAAGGAAGUCCAAACAUUCAGAAAAGGCAACAACUGCAAAAAAAGGUCCAUCCCCAAUGGAUCCACCUAACACAAUCUAAGAAUCACUUCCCUGUAUUUUAAGGGCCUUUAAGACAAAAGAGAAAGAUACAAGGAAAAUGAUUCUUUCUAUUCCUCUUUUCAUCUGAUUUCCUUUUUAGGUUGUUCAUAAAAAUAUGAAGAAGAAUCACAAUGAUUUCUUUCUCUAACAGCUAUCUGGAACAAAAUUAAGGAUGGCUUGAUGAAUCAGAGGAUGACAAGAUACCACAAUUUUGUGCUGAUUUCACAGUUUCUACAAACUAUUUACCAAGCUGACUUAGGGUAAAAUAUUAAUACAGAUUAAGCAUCACAGUUUUUUUCUAGAAGUUUUUACAACUUCUUAAUAAUAUAAUACACAUUCCUCUAAGAAAAACUCCAUGAAAAGUAAUUUCUCUAUGAAUCAGUUUUUUCUUUUUUUUUUUGUCUUUUUUAUGCUAUUUCUUGGGCCGCUCCCGCGGCAUAUGGAGGUUCCCAGGCUAGGGGUCGAAUCGGAGCUGUAGCCACUGGCCUUCGCCAGAGCCACAGCAACGCGGGAUCCAAGCCGCGUCUGCAGCCUACACCACAGCUCAUGGCAACGCCGGAGCCUCAACCCACUGAGCAAGGGCAGGGACCGAACCCGCAACCUCAUGGUUCCUAGUCGGAUUCGUUAACCACUGCGCCACGACAGGAACUCCCGAAUCAGUUUUCUUAUUAGCAAAAUGUUAGUAAGACAGUAAUAAGAGAAAAAUAUAUUUCCCUAGGACAUGUUCUGUUAAUAAAUCACCUAAGAGAUCCCAGAAAAGAGGAAAAGAGCUAUCAUUUUUAUUCAGGCAUGGCACUGUGAAAUUUAAGGUAUAGUGAUAUCUACUGCUUGAGUCUAACAAUUGUCUUAACCAUUGGCAAGAUUUGCAGCUCAAAGGAGUGGAAGAGGUCUCUCUUUGUAUAUAAUAUACAAAGUUGCUAGAAAGUUUCAAGACGUUUAGUUUCCCCUGAAAUCUUAAGGACAUCACUUACCCAUCAGCUACUCUGAAGCUACCGGUCAGCAUCCUCAGAAUUUACCUUUCUUUAAAAAGGCAUAGAAGUGCUUAUAGAUGCUGUUCAUCUUAUUUCAUAAAACAGACCCAAGCUUCUCUCGUGGUGUAGAACAUACAAUAUAUAACACUUUACACUUGAUGGGCAGCUGUAGAUAAUACACUGUGAGGACAUUCAGAGAUGCUAACUUCUUUUAACCACAGGAGUCUAAAUCUCUGUUAAAAAGAGAACCAGAAAAGGCUGACUUAGACAUUUGACCCAGAAGAUGAUCUUCAUGCCCAGCUGAAGUUAAGAGCUUCUGCUCCCUCAGAAAGUGUGUGUCUUGAAGCAUCAUGCUGGGCACUGAGGAUGCUCAGAUAAAACAACUGGCCUCCAAUUCUCUGGCCUCUCUGAUGUUUCGGAAAGGAAUUGUUUCAAAAGAUGUACUUGGCAUAAUACCCUCAAGGUCCAUCCAUGUAGCAAAUGGCAAGAUUUCAUCUUAUGGCUGAGCAGUACUCCAUUAUACACAGAUACCACGUCUUUGUCCAUUCAUCUCUUGAUGGGCAAUUAGGUAGUUUCCCUAUCUUGGCUAUUAUAAACAACUCUGUGAUGAACAUAAGGGUGCAUAUAUCUUUUUCUAAUUAGAGGGUAUUUUGUUAAGUAAAAUCAAUCAGAUGGAGAAAGACAAGGACCCCAUGAUUCCACUCAUAUGUGGAUUUUAAAACAAAAGUACAACAAAAUAGAUGAACGAACCAAACCAAGUAGAUACAGGGACCAGAGUAGUAUGCGAAGAGGAUACGGAGGGAAGCGGGAGGGGAUGGGGAGGGUGAAACGGGUAAAGGGAAUCAACUGCAUGUUGAUGGAUGGAAACUAAACUUUCGGUGGCGAGCACGCUGUCGUCUGUACAGAACUGAAAAUAGUUCCCUGUACUAGACAGCAGGCCCUUGUUCUUUAUCUAUCUUGUACUGAGCAGUUUGUAUCUGCUAAUCCCAAACUCUUAAUCUAUCCCUUCCCCUUUGGCAGCUAUAAAUUUGUUUUCUAUGUAAGUUCAUUUGUAUCAAAUUUUAGAUUCCACACAUAUGUAAUAUGAUAGGAUAUUUGUCUUGCUCUGACUUGCUUGGUAUGAUAAACUCUAGAUCCAUCCACAUUGCUAUAAAUGGCAGUAUUUCAUUUUUUAUGGCUGAAUACUGUUUCACUGUGUGUGUGUGCGCACACACACACACGUACACAUACAUACACCACAUCUUCUUUAUCCAUUCGUCUGUGGAUGAACACUUAAACAGUGCUGCCGUGAACACUGGGGUGCAUGGAUCUUUCAGAACAUAGUUUUCUCUAGACAUAUAUGCUCAGGAGUGGGAAACCUAGAUCAUAUGGUAACUCUAUGUUUAGUUUUCAAGGAACCUCUGUAUUAUUUUUCCAUAAUGGCUACACCAAUUUACACUCCCACUCACUGUGUAGGAAGGUUCCGUUUUCUCCACACCAUCUCCAUCUAUUUAUUAUGUGUACAGUCUUUGGCGACUGUUCUUUGAGAACUGCAUAAAGCUCUGAAUCCUUUUCCCAAAAAAGAUGCAUCUAUCCAAACCUAUACCAAAUAUGCAGUGUAAAUUUUAGGGCAUUUACAACACCCCUUUGGAGACACUUAAGAACCUCCUAACACAGAGUAAAUAAGGAAGAAGACUAAAACUGAAACCCUGAGGGACCCCAUCACUAAAAAGACUGGCAAAGAAUGACAGUCCAGCAAAGCAUAUUAGGGAUGACUAAUGAGACAGUUAGAUGGGAAGCCAGGAGAGAAUGACAUCAUGGAUUCGAGAAAAUUACCCAUGUCCAGAAAUAGGAAAUAGGCAGCACUACCAAAUGCUGUUCAGAAGUUACAUGGAAUGCGAAUUAAACACAGGCCAUCGGUGUUCACUGGUCUAGAGCU
rnacentral:lncRNA from 1 species